rnacentral:rRNA from 1 species
AGCGAACGCUGGCGGCAGGCCUAACACAUGCAAGUCGAACGGAUCCUUCGGGAUUAGUGGCGGACGGGUGAGGAACACGUGGGAACGUGCCUUUUGGUUCGGAACAACUCAGGGAAACUUGAGCUAAUACCGGAUGUGCCCUUCGGGGAAGGAUUUAUCGCCAUAGGAGCAGCCCGCGUUGGAUUAGGUAGUUGGUGAGGUAAAGGACUCACCAAGCCUACGAUCCAUAGCUGGUCUGAGAGGAUGAUCAGCCACACUGGGACUGAGACACGGCCCAGACUCCUACGGGAGGCAGCAGUAGGGAAGUCUUGCGCAAUGGGCGAAAGCCUGACGCAGCCAUGCCGCGUGAAUGAUGAAGGUCUUAGGAUUGUAAAAUUCUUUC